UGUGUGUGUGUGUGUGUGUGUGUAUAUGGAUAAGGUUUUUCUAACCUCUGAAACACCGUUUUCGGCGGCAUAUGCAGCGUUCGUCUAAAUUGUUUCCGAGAUCAAUUAUUGAAUUGAGAUAUGUCGAACGUGCACACUGUGAACAGUAUUAUCAGCAAUAGGAACCGCGACUGCCUCGAAUGCAGAUUGUUGAGCGGUAGUGGUCUUGUCGCCGCCGGUUUAUACGUCUGUCAUCAUUCCAAACAGUACCAGAAUCAAGUACGAAAAGCAGCGAUGUACUCUGUUGCUUCUGUACUAGUACUCCUUGGUACAGCCAGGAUUUUCGACUUACCACCUUUUCAAGAUAAAUUUAAACGCAGCUGAGGAUUAAGUUACUUAAGCAAGUGUAAAUCCAGAGCAUUUUGUAGCAAUUGCACAUAAAACAAUAAAACUGAACAUGCCGCAAACAAGACAUAAAAUACACGAUUCUCCGGAAGCGCCGUCGGUGUGGUUUUACAGCGUGUUUUCUUUUUUCUUUUUUUUUUUGUCUCUGGCGAAUGAGUCGUGCACGACCGCAGAAACGAGCACGUUGCGUAUAUCGGCGAUUCGACGCGGUUCACCAGGCUGUGGAAACCAAGAAUUUCGUUAUUAACCCCCACGUUACGUAAUUCGCCUACAGGUCUGAGGAAAGAAAAACCGGGCGACGCCACACUCUUCGAAUGACAAACGAAGAAGGGAAAAAAAAAUAACGGAGAAAGGAAGGGAAACGAUGAGAAGACUGAUGUCACUGAUGAGGAGGAAGGAUCAAGAUUUCAUCCUCAUUUAAUAAAUCCAACGUUCCAGCCGCAAUGGAUGGUUCGCAAGAUGAGAGAAAGCAAGAACUCGAAGCGUGCUGCGCCCCUCGCACUCGGGAUUGCGUCACGCGUAAUUGCAAGAUCGUUCGUCCAUUCGUUUCAAAGAUCCCGGAGAACUUAAAGUAUCAUAUGUGUGUAGCGCAAUUUUUCCUGAAUUUCAUCGGCUUCAUAUUUCAUCAUUCACUGACGUUUUUCACUUAUAUAGUAAAAUAAAAUAAAACUAUAAUAAAAUUAA